GACGAAGGAUGCAAGCGUUAUCCGGAUUCAUUGGGUUUAAAGGGCGCGUAGGUGGCCUUAUAAGUCAGCGGUGAAAUCUCUCAGCUUAACUGAGAAAUUGCCAUUGAUACUGUAGGGCUUGAGUACAGAUGCCGUUGGCGGAAUAUGACAUGUAGUGGUGAAAUACAUAGAGAUGUCAUAGAACACCGAUUGCGAAGGCAGCUGACGAAACUGUAACUGACACUGAGGCUCGAAAGUGCGGGGAUCAAACAGG
rnacentral:rRNA from 1 species